CGACCGGCGCACGGGUGAGUAACGCGUAUGCAACUUACCUAUCAGAGGGGGAUAGCCCGGCGAAAGUCGGAUUAAUACCCCAUGAAACAGGGGUCCCGCAUGGGAAUAUUUGUUAAAGAUUCAUCGCUGAUAGAUAGGCAUGCGUUCCAUUAGGCAGCUGGCGGGGUAACGGCCCACCAAACCGACGAUGGAUAGGGGUUCUGAGAGGAAGGUCCCCCACAUUGGUACUGAGACACGGACCAA
rnacentral:rRNA from 1 species